UACGAAGGGGGCUAGCGUUGCUCGGAAUCACUGGGCGUAAAGCGCACGUAGGCGGGUCGUUAAGUCGGGGGUGAAAGCCCGGAGCUCAACUCCGGAACUGCCUUCGAUACUGGCGAUCUUGAGUUCGGGAGAGGUGAGUGGAACUGCGAGUGUAGAGGUGAAAUUCGUAGAUAUUCGCAAGAACACCAGUGGCGAAGGCGGCUCACUGGCCCGAUACUGACGCUGAGGUGCGAAAGCGUGGGGAGCAAACAGGAUUAGAAACCCCCGUAGUCC
rnacentral:rRNA from 1 species